CCUACGGGGGGCAGCAGUAGGGAAUCUUGCUCAAUGGGGGAAACCCUGAAGCAGCAACGCCGCGUGGGGGAUGAAGGUUUUCGGAUUGUAAACUCCUUUUGUUAGAGAAGAUAAUGACGGUAUCUAACGAAAAAGCAUCGGCUAACACCGUGACAGCAGCCGCGGUAAUACGGAGUUGGCGAGCGUUAUCGGGUUUCAUGGGGUUUAACGGGUGCGAGGGCGGGCUUUUAGGCCGGCGGGGAAAGCGCGGGGCUAAACGCGGCCGAGCCGUCGUAACUGGGGGCCUUGAGUGCGGCGGAGGCAGGCGGAAUGCGCGGUGUAGCGGUGAAAUGCAUAGAGAUAGCGCAGAACCCCGAUUGCGAAGGCAGCGUGCCGUGCCGUCACUGACGCUGAGGCACGAAAGCGUGGGGAUCGAACAGGAUUAGAUACCCUUGUAGUC
rnacentral:rRNA from 1 species